AACGAACGCUGGCGGCAGGCUUAACACAUGCAAGUCGAGCGCCCCGCAAGGGAAGCGGCAGACGGGUGAGUAACGCGUGGGAACCUACCCAUCUCUACGGAAUAACGCAUGGAAACGUGUGCUAAUACCGUAUACGUCCUACGGGAGAAAGAUUUAUCGGAGAUGGAUGAGCCCGCGUUGGAUUAGCUAGUUGGUGGGGUAAAGGCCUACCAAGGCGACGAUCCAUAGCUGGUCUGAGAGGAUGAUCAGCCACACUGGGACUGAGACACGGCCCAGACUCCUACGGGAGGCAGCAGUGGGGAAUAUUGGACAAUGGGCGCAAGCCUGAUCCAGCCAUGCCGCGUGAGUGAUGAAGGCCCUAGGGUUGUAAAGCUCUUUCACCGGUGAAGAUAAUGACGGUAACCGGAGAAGAAGCCCCGGCUAACUUCGUGCCAGCAGCCGCCUAAGAC
rnacentral:rRNA from 1 species